rnacentral:rRNA from 1 species
UACGAAGGGGGCUAGCGUUGUUCGGAUUUACUGGGCGUAAAGCGCACGUAGGCGGAUUGUUAAGUCAGGGGUGAAAGUCCUGGAGCUCAACUCCAGAACUGCCUCUGAUACUGGCAAUCUUGAGUCCGGAAGAGGUGAAGUGGAACUCCUAGUGUAGAGGUGGAAUUCGUAGAUAUUAGGAAGAACACCAGUGGCGAAGGCGGCUCACUGGUCCGGUACUGACGCUGAGGUGACGAAAGCGUGGGGAGCAAACAGG